rnacentral:rRNA from 1 species
AGAGUUUGAUCCUGGCUCAGAACGAACGCUGGCGGCGUGCUUAACACAUGCAAGUCGAACGCGAACGAGUUCUUCGGAACUUUAGUAGAGUGGCGCACGGGUGAGUAACGCGUAAGUAAUCUACCCUCGCAUUUGGGAUAACCCACCGAAAGGUGUGCUAAUACCGGAUACGUCUAUUUUAAUAUCUUUUUUAUAGAGAAAGGUGGCCUCUGAUUCAAGCUACUGUGCGGGGAGGAGCUUGCGUACCAUUAGCUAGUUGGUAGGGUAAUGGCCUACCAAGGCAACGAUGGUUAGCGGGUCUGAGAGGAUGAUCCGCCACACUGGAACUGAAACACGGACCAGACUCCUACGGGAGGCAGCAGUGAGGAAUAUUGCGCAAUGGGGGCAACCCUGACCCAGCGACGCCGCGUGGAUGAUGAAGGCCUUCGGGUUGUAAAAUCCUGUCAGAUGGGAAGAAGUGUAAUAUGGUUAAUAUCUGUAUUAUUUGACGGUACCAUCAAAGGAAGCACCGGCUAACUCCGUGCCAGCAGCCGCGGUAAUACGGAGGGUGCAAGCGUUGUUCGGAAUUACUGGGCGUAAAGCGCGCGUAGGCGGUUGUAUAAGUCAGAUGUGAGAGUCCAUGGCUCAACCAUGGAAGUGCAUUUGAAACUGUAUAACUUGAGUACUGGAGGGGGUGGUGGAAUUCCCGGUGUAGAGGUGAAAUUCGUAGAUAUCGGGAGGAAUACCGGUGGCGAAGGCGACCACCUGGCCAGAUACUGACGCUGAGGUGCGAAAGCGUGGGGAGCAAACAGGAUUAGAUACCCUGGUAGUCCACGCCGUAAACGAUGUGAACUAGGUGUUGGGAUGGUUAAUCGUCUCAUUGCCGGAGCUAACGCAUUAAGUUCACCGCCUGGGGAGUACGGUCGCAAGAUUAAAACUCAAAGGAAUUGACGGGGGCCCGC